rnacentral:rRNA from 1 species
AUGAACGCUGGCGGCGUGCCUAAUACAUGCAAGUCGAGCGAACAGACGAGGAGCUUGCUCCUCUGACGUUAGCGGCGGACGGGUGAGUAACACGUGGAUAACCUACCUAUAAGACUGGGAUAACUUCGGGAAACCGGAGCUAAUACCGGAUAAUAUAUUGAACCGCAUGGUUCAAUAGUGAAAGACGGUUUUGCUGUCACUUAUAGAUGGAUCCGCGCCGCAUUAGCUAGUUGGUAAGGUAACGGCUUACCAAGGCAACGAUGCGUAGCCGACCUGAGAGGGUGAUCGGCCAACUGGAACUGAGACACGGUCCAGACUCCUACGGGAGGCAGCAGUAGGGAAUCUUCCGCAAUGGGCGAAAGCCUGACGGAGCAACGCCGCGUGAGUGAUGAAGGUCUUCGGAUCGUAAAACUCUGUUAUUAGGGAAGAACAAAUGUGUAAGUAACUAUGCACGUCUUGACGGUACCUAAUCAGAAAGCCACGGCUAACUACGUG